GGGUUGUGAGGUUAAGCGACUAAGCGUACACGGUGGAUGCCCUGGCAGUCAGAGGCGAUGAAGGACGUGCUAAUCUGCGAUAAGCGUCGGUAAGGUGAUAUGAACCGUUAUAACCGGCGAUUUCCGAAUGGGGAAACCCAGUGUGUUUCGACACACUAUCAUUAACUGAAUCCAUAGGUUAAUGAGGCGAACCGGGGGAACUGAAACAUCUAAGUACCCCGAGGAAAAGAAAUCAACCGAGAUUCCCCCAGUAGCGGCGAGCGAACGGGGAGGAGCCCAGAGCCUGAAUCAGUGUGUGUGUUAGUGGAAGCGUCUGGAAAGGCGCGCGAUACAGGGUGACAGCCCCGUACACAAAAAUGCACAUGCUGUGAGCUCGAUGAGUAGGGCGGGACACGUGGUAUCCUGUCUGAAUAUGGGGGGACCAUCCUCCAAGGCUAAAUACUCCUGACUGACCGAUAGUGAACCAGUACCGUGAGGGAAAGGCGAAAAGAACCCCGGCGAGGGGAGUGAAAAAGAACCUGAAACCGUGUACGUACAAGCAGUGGGAGCCUCUUUUAUGGGGUGACUGCGUACCUUUUGUAUAAUGGGUCAGCGACUUAUAUUCUGUAGCAAGGUUAACCGAAUAGGGGAGCCGAAGGGAAACCGAGUCUUAACUGGGCGUUAAGUUGCAGGGUAUAGACCCGAAACCCGGUGAUCUAGCCAUGGGCAGGUUGAAGGUUGGGUAACACUAACUGGAGGACCGAACCGACUAAUGUUGAAAAAUUAGCGGAUGACUUGUGGCUGGGGGUGAAAGGCCAAUCAAACCGGGAGAUAGCUGGUUCUCCCCGAAAGCUAUUUAGGUAGCGCCUCGUGAAUUCAUCUCCGGGGGUAGAGCACUGUUUCGGCAAGGGGGUCAUCCCGACUUACCAACCCGAUGCAAACUGCGAAUACCGGAGAAUGUUAUCACGGGAGACACACGGCGGGUGCUAACGUCCGUCGUGAAGAGGGAAACAACCCAGACCGCCAGCUAAGGUCCCAAAGUCAUGGUUAAGUGGGAAACGAUGUGGGAAGGCCCAGACAGCCAGGAUGUUGGCUUAGAAGCAGCCAUCAUUUAAAGAAAGCGUAAUAGCUCACUGGUCGAGUCGGCCUGCGCGGAAGAUGUAACGGGGCUAAACCAUGCACCGAAGCUGCGGCAGCGACACUAUGUGUUGUUGGGUAGGGGAGCGUUCUGUAAGCCUGUGAAGGUGUGCUGUGAGGCAUGCUGGAGGUAUCAGAAGUGCGAAUGCUGACAUAAGUAACGAUAAAGCGGGUGAAAAGCCCGCUCGCCGGAAGACCAAGGGUUCCUGUCCAACGUUAAUCGGGGCAGGGUGAGUCGACCCCUAAGGCGAGGCCGAAAGGCGUAGUCGAUGGGAAACAGGUUAAUAUUCCUGUACUUGGUGUUACUGCGAAGGGGGGACGGAGAAGGCUAUGUUGGCCGGGCGACGGUUGUCCCGGUUUAAGCGUGUAGGCUGGUUUUCCAGGCAAAUCCGGAAAAUCAAGGCUGAGGCGUGAUGACGAGGCACUACGGUGCUGAAGCAACAAAUGCCCUGCUUCCAGGAAAAGCCUCUAAGCAUCAGGUAACAUCAAAUCGUACCCCAAACCGACACAGGUGGUCAGGUAGAGAAUACCAAGGCGCUUGAGAGAACUCGGGUGAAGGAACUAGGCAAAAUGGUGCCGUAACUUCGGGAGAAGGCACGCUGAUAUGUAGGUGAAGUCCCUCGCGGAUGGAGCUGAAAUCAGUCGAAGAUACCAGCUGGCUGCAACUGUUUAUUAAAAACACAGCACUGUGCAAACACGAAAGUGGACGUAUACGGUGUGACGCCUGCCCGGUGCCGGAAGGUUAAUUGAUGGGGUCAGCGCAAGCGAAGCUCUUGAUCGAAGCCCCGGUAAACGGCGGCCGUAACUAUAACGGUCCUAAGGUAGCGAAAUUCCUUGUCGGGUAAGUUCCGACCUGCACGAAUGGCGUAAUGAUGGCCAGGCUGUCUCCACCCGAGACUCAGUGAAAUUGAACUCGCUGUGAAGAUGCAGUGUACCCGCGGCAAGACGGAAAGACCCCGUGAACCUUUACUAUAGCUUGACACUGAACAUUGAGCCUUGAUGUGUAGGAUAGGUGGGAGGCUUUGAAGUGUGGACGCCAGUCUGCAUGGAGCCGACCUUGAAAUACCACCCUUUAAUGUUUGAUGUUCUAACGUGGACCCGUAAUCCGGGUUGCGGACAGUGUCUGGUGGGUAGUUUGACUGGGGCGGUCUCCUCCUAAAGAGUAACGGAGGAGCACGAAGGUUGGCUAAUCCUGGUCGGACAUCAGGAGGUUAGUGCAAUGGCAUAAGCCAGCUUGACUGCGAGCGUGACGGCGCGAGCAGGUGCGAAAGCAGGUCAUAGUGAUCCGGUGGUUCUGAAUGGAAGGGCCAUCGCUCAACGGAUAAAAGGUACUCCGGGGAUAACAGGCUGAUACCGCCCAAGAGUUCAUAUCGACGGCGGUGUUUGGCACCUCGAUGUCGGCUCAUCACAUCCUGGGGCUGAAGUAGGUCCCAAGGGUAUGGCUGUUCGCCAUUUAAAGUGGUACGCGAGCUGGGUUUAGAACGUCGUGAGACAGUUCGGUCCCUAUCUGCCGUGGGCGCUGGAGAACUGAGGGGGGCUGCUCCUAGUACGAGAGGACCGGAGUGGACGCAUCACUGGUGUUCGGGUUGUCAUGCCAAUGGCACUGCCCGGUAGCUAAAUGCGGAAGAGAUAAGUGCUGAAAGCAUCUAAGCACGAAACUUGCCCCGAGAUGAGUUCUCCCUGACCCUUUAAGGGUCCUGAAGGAACGUUGAAGACGACGACGUUGAUAGGCCGGGUGUGUAAGCGCAGCGAUGCGUUGAGCUAACCGGUACUAAUGAACCGUGAGGCUUAACCUUACAACGCCGAAG
rnacentral:rRNA from 1 species